rnacentral:rRNA from 1 species
GACGAACGCUGGCGGCGUGCUUAACACAUGCAAGUCGAACGGAAAGGCCCUGCUUUUGUGGGGUGCUCGAGUGGCGAACGGGUGAGUAACACGUGAGUAACCUGCCCUUGACUUUGGGAUAACUUCAGGAAACUGGGGCUAAUACCGGAUAGGAGCUCCUGCUGCAUGGUGGGGGUUGGAAAGUUUCGGCGGUUGGGGAUGGACUCGCGGCUUAUCAGCUUGUUGGUGGGGUAGUGGCUUACCAAGGGUUUGACGGGUAGCCGGCCUGAGAGGGUGACCGGCGACAUUGGGACUGAGGUACGGCCCAGACUCCUACGGGAGGCAGCAGUGGGGAAUAUUGCACAAUGGGCGGAAGCCUGAUGCAGCAACGCCGCGUGCGGGAUGACGGCCUUCGGGUUGUAAACCGAUUUCGCCUGUGACGAAGCGUGAGUGACGGUAAUGGGUAAAGAAGCACCGGCUAACUACGUG